rnacentral:rRNA from 1 species
UACGUAGGGGGCAAGCGUUGUCCGGAAUUAUUGGGCGUAAAGCGCGCGCAGGCGGCCUUGUAAGUCUGUUGUUUAAACUUGGGGCUCAACCCCAAGUCGCAAGGGAAACUGCAAAGCUUGAGUACAGAAGAGGAAAGUGGAAUUCCAUGUGUAGCGGUGAAAUGCGUAGAGAUGUGGAGGAACACCGACGGCGAAGGCAGCCCCCUGGGCUGACACUGACGCUCAGGCACGAAAGCGUGGGGAGCAAAAGGG